rnacentral:rRNA from 1 species
GACGAACGCUGGCGGCGUGCUUAACACAUGCAAGUCGAACGGAAAGGCCCUGCUUUUGUGGGGUUCUCGAUUGGCGAACGGGUGAGUAACACGUGAGUAACCUGCCCUUGACUUUGGGAUAACUUCAGGAAACUGGGGCUAAUACCGGAUAGGAGCUCCUGCUGCAUGUUGGGGGUUGGAAAGUUUCGGCGGUUGUGGAUGGACUCGCGGCUUAUCAGCUUGUUGGUGGGGUAGGGGCUUACCAAGGCUUUGACGGGUAGCCGGCCUGAGAGGGUGACCGGCCACAUUGGGACUGAGAUACGGAGCAGAAUCGUACGGGAGGCAGCAGUCGGGAAUAUUGCACAAUGGGCGGAAGCCUGAUGCAGCAACGCCGCGUGCGGGAUGACGGCCUUCGGGUUGUAAACAGAUGUCGCCUGUGACGAAGCGUGAGUGACGGUAAUGGGUAAAGAAGCACCGGCUAACUACGUG